GAGGAUGUGGGGAGCCACUGUAAUAGUAUGUGUCAUAUUUGUACUAUGCCUGACUCAUUUCCAGACGUGAAAUAAUCUCUGGGACCAUGACGCUUCACGACGCCCUUGAAGUCUUUUUGUGGCAGUUACAGAAUUUCUGUGAGUUGCCCCCCUGCUUGGAAAACAGGCUUCAGAUGCUCCUUUUAUGCUAAGUCAGUGGUUCCCAACUUUGUCUGCCAUGAGAAUCACUGGGGAGAUUUGAAAAAUUCUGAAGCUCCCAGCCACCGUCCAGACCCAUUCAGUCAAAAUCUCUGAGGGUGGGGCUCAGGCCUCCAUAGUGUUGAAGCCAGGGGGUUCCGGGCACUGCCUAGUUUGGGAAUCGUGGUGCCAGACGGCCAGGAAGGAGAUGGGGCCAUCAGCCGAUCCCAUGGCUGUUGCCAGCUGCUUCCUUCUGCUUCCCUUUAGGGAUAUUCCAAGGCCAAACCCAGUUAGAGUCUUUAGCAUGUAUCAUUUCCAAUCCAUUUGAGAGAGCCUUCACAAAUAGAAAAGGCUGGAUUUAAAUUUUUUCCAUUUCCAGGGAGUUCCUGUCAUGGCUCAGCGAUAAUGAAUCCAACUAGGGUCCAUGAAGAGGCAGAUGCCAUGCCUGGCCUCGCUCAGUGGUUUAAGCAUCUGGUGUUGCCGUGAGCUGUGGGGUAGGUCACAGACAUGGCUUGGAUCCUGCGUUGCUGUGGCUGUGGUGUAGGCUGGCAGCUGCGGCUCCAAUUCGAUCCCUAGCCUGGGAACUUUCAUAUGCCGUCGGUGUGGCCCUAAAAAGCAAAAAAAUAAAAAAUGUUCCCCAUUUCUAACAGAGUUUUAAAUAUUUUUUUCCCAAAUGUAAAAAUACACUGUUGGGAGUUCCCUGGUGGCUCAGCAGGGAACUCCUCUCCCAGGGUAAUUUGCAUUCAAAAAAGAACAUGCCCACAGAAGAUAAUCCAGACCCCAAAAGAACAAAUCUCAGUCCAUUAAUUUCACAGGGAAGAGGGCCAUGAGACAGUGAAGGCAAAGCCUGGGUGGUGCAUGCGCAGGACCAGGAACACCAAAGUUUGCCAGCCAACCGCCAGAAGCCGGGAGAGAAGCCUGGAACAGACGCUCCCUCACAGUCCUCAAAAGGAACCUACCCCGCCGACAUCUUAUUCCUGGAUUUCUUGAGAACAGU
rnacentral:lncRNA from 1 species